rnacentral:rRNA from 1 species
AGAGUUUGAUCCUGGCUCAGGAUGAACGCUAGCUACAGGCUUAACACAUGCAAGUCGAGGGGCAGCAUGGUCUUAGCUUGCUAAGGCCGAUGGCGACCGGCGCACGGGUGAGUAACACGUAUCCAACCUGCCGACAACACUGGGAUAGCCUUUCGAAAGAAAGAUUAAUACCGGAUGGCAUAGUUUUCCCGCAUGGGAUAAUUAUUAAAGAAUUUCGGUUGUCGAUGGGGAUGCGUUCCAUUAGGCAGUUGGCGGGGUAACGGCCCACCAAACCUACGAUGGAUAGGGGUUCUGAGAGGAAGGUCCCCCACAUUGGAACUGAGACACGGUCCAAACUCCUACGGGAGGCAGCAGUGAGGAAUAUUGGUCAAUGGACGAGAGUCUGAACCAGCCAAGUAGCGUGAAGGAUGACUGCCCUAUGGGUUGUAAACUUCUUUUAUACGGGAAUAAAGUGAGCCACGUGUGGCUUUUUGUAUGUACCGUAUGAAUAAGGAUCGGCUAACUCCGUGCCAGCAGCCGCGGUAAUACGGAGGAUCCGAGCGUUAUCCGGAUUUAUUGGGUUUAAAGGGAGCGUAGGCGGGUUGUUAAGUCAGUUGUGAAAGUUUGCGGCUCAACCGUAAAAUUGCAGUUGAUACUGGCGACCUUGAGUGCAACAGAGGUAGGCGGAAUUCGUGGUGUAGCGGUGAAAUGCUUAGAUAUCACGAAGAACUCCGAUUGCGAAGGCAGCUUACUGGAUUGUAACUGACGCUGAUGCUCGAAAGUGUGGGUAUCAAACAGGAUUAGAUACCCUGGUAGUCCACACAGUAAACGAUGAAUACUCGCUGUUGGCGAUAUACUGUCAGCGGCCAAGCGAAAGCAUUAAGUAUUCCACCUGGGGAGUACGCCGGCAACGGUGAAACUCAAAGGAAUUGACGGGGGCCCGCACAAGCGGAGGAACAUGUGGUUUAAUUCGAUGAUACGCGAGGAACCUUACCCGGGCUUAAAUUGCAACUGACGGAACCGGAAACGGUUCUUUCUUCGGACAGUUGUGAAGGUGCUGCAUGGUUGUCGUCAGCUCGUGCCGUGAGGUGUCGGCUUAAGUGCCAUAACGAGCGCAACCCUUAUCGAUAGUUACUAGCAGGUCAUGCUGAGGACUCUAUCGAGACUGCCGUCGUAAGAUGUGAGGAAGGUGGGGAUGACGUCAAAUCAGCACGGCCCUUACGUCCGGGGCUACACACGCGUUACAAUGGGGGGUACAGAAGGCAGCUACACGGCGACGUGGUGCUAAUCCCAAAAGCCUCUCUCAGUUCGGAUUGGAGUCUGCAACCCGACUCCAUGAAGCUGGAUUCGCUAGUAAUCGCGCAUCAGCCACGGCGCGGUGAAUACGUUCCCGGGCCUUGCACUCACCGCCCGUCA